AUUGAACGCUGGCGGCAGGCCUAACACAUGCAAGUCGAGCGGAUGAAGGGAGCUUGCUCCUGGAUUCAGCGGCGGACGGGUGAGUAAUGCCUAGGAAUCUGCCUGGUAGUGGGGGAUAACGUCCGGAAACGGGCGCUAAUACCGCAUACGUCCUGAGGGAGAAAGUGGGGGAUCUUCGGACCUCACGCUAUCAGAUGAGCCUAGGUCGGAUUAGCUAGUUGGUGGGGUAAAGGCCUACCAAGGCGACGAUCCGUAACUGGUCUGAGAGGAUGAUCAGUCACACUGGAACUGAGACACGGUCCAGACUCCUACGGGAGGCAGCAGUGGGGAAUAUUGGACAAUGGGCGAAAGCCUGAUCCAGCCAUGCCGCGUGUGUGAAGAAGGGCUUCGGAUUGUAAAGCACUUUAAGUUGGGAGGAAGGGCAGUAAGUUAAUACCUGGCUGUUUUGACGUUACCAACAGAAUAAGCACCGGCUAACUUCGU
rnacentral:rRNA from 1 species